UACAGAGGUCCCGAGCGUUGUUCGGAUUCAUUGGGCGUAAAGGGUGCGUAGGCGGCGGGGUAAGUUUGAUGUGAAAUCCCGGGGCUCAACCCUGGAAUUGCAUUGAAUACUACCUUGCUAGAGUACCGGAGAGGAAACUGGAAUUUACGGUGUAGCAGUGAAAUGCGUAGAGAUCGUAAGGAAGACCAGUGGCGAAGGCGAGUUUCUGGACAGUGACUGACGCUGAGGCACGAAGGCCAGGGGAGCAAACGGG
rnacentral:rRNA from 1 species